AUUAGAGUUUGAUCCUGGCUCAGAUUGAACGCUGGCGGCAUGCCUUACACAUGCAAGUCGAACGGUAACAGGUCUUCGGAUGCUGAUGAGUGGCGAACGGGUGAGUAAUGCAUCGGAACGUACCCGGUAGUGGGGGAUAACUACCCGAAAGGGUGGCUAAUACCGCAUAUACUGUGCGCAGGAAAGCAGGGGACCUUCGGGCCUUGUGCUACCGGAGCGGCCGAUGUCAGAUUAGGUAGUUGGUGGGGUAACGGCCUACCAAGCCUGCGAUCUGUAGCGGGUCUGAGAGGAUGAUCCGCCACACUGGGACUGAGACACGGCCCAGACUCCUACGGGAGGCAGCAGUGGGGAAUUUUGGACAAUGGGCGCAAGCCUGAUCCAGCCAUGCCGCGUGAGUGAAGAAGGCCUUCGGGUUGUAAAGCUCUUUCGGACGGAAAGAAAUCGCGCAGGCUAAUACCCUGCGCGGAUGACGGUACCGUCAUAAGAAGCACCGGCUAACUACGUGCCAGCAGCCGCGGUAAUACGUAGGGUGCGAGCGUUAAUCGGAAUUACUGGGCGUAAAGCGUGCGCAGGCGGUUGAUUAAGACAGGCGUGAAAUCCCCGGGCUUAACCUGGGAACUGCGCUUGUGACUGGUCAGCUAGAGUACGGCAGAGGGGGGUGGAAUUCCACGUGUAGCAGUGAAAUGCGUAGAGAUGUGGAGGAACACCGAUGGCGAAGGCAGCCCCCUGGGCCGAUACUGACGCUCAUGCACGAAAGCGUGGGUAGCAAACAGGAUUAGAUACCCUGGUAGUCCACGCCCUAAACGAUGUCAACUAGUUGUUGGGAGGGUAAAACCUUUUAGUAACGUAGCUAACGCGUGAAGUUGACCGCCUGGGGAGUACGGCCGCAAGGCUAAAACUCAAAGGAAUUGACGGGGACCCGCACAAGCGGUGGAUGAUGUGGAUUAAUUCGAUGCAACGCGAAAAACCUUACCUACCCUUGACAUGUCAGAAAUCCCUGAGAGAUUAGGGAGUGCCGCAAGGAAUCUGAACACAGGUGCUGCAUGGCUGUCGUCAGCUCGUGUCGUGAGAUGUUGGGUUAAGUCCCGCAACGAGCGCAACCCUUGUCGUUAAUUGCCAUCAUUAAGUUGGGCACUUUAACGAGACUGCCGGUGACAAACCGGAGGAAGGUGGGGAUGACGUCAAGUCCUCAUGGCCCUUAUGGGUAGGGCUUCACACGUCAUACAAUGGUCGGUACAGAGGGUUGCCAAGCCGCGAGGUGGAGCCAAUCCCAGAAAGCCGAUCGUAGUCCGGAUCGUAGGCUGCAACUCGCCUGCGUGAAGUCGGAAUCGCUAGUAAUCGCAGAUCAGCAUGCUGCGGUGAAUACGUUCCCGGGUCUUGCACACACCGCCCGU
rnacentral:rRNA from 1 species